rnacentral:rRNA from 1 species
GAUGAACGCUGGCGGCGUGCCUAAUACAUGCAAGUCGAGCGAACAGACAAGGAGCCUGCUCCUUUGACGUUAGCGGCGGACGGGUGAGUGACACGUGGGUAACCUACCUAUAAGACUGGGAUAACUUCGGGAAACCGGAGCUAAUACCGGAUAAUAUUUCGAACCGCAUGGUUCGAUAGUGAAAGAUGGUUUUGCUAUCACUUAUAGAUGGACCCGCGCCGUAUUAGCUAGUUGGUAAGGUAACGGCUUACCAAGGCGACGAUACGUAGCCGACCUGAGAGGGUGAUCGGCCACACUGGAACUGAGACACGGUCCAGACUCCUACGGGAGGCAGCAGUAGGGAAUCUUCCGCAAUGGGCGAAAGCCUGACGGAGCAACGCCGCGUGGGUGAUGAAGGUCUUCGGAUCGUAAAACUCUGUUAUUAGGGAAGAACAUACGUGUAAGUAACUAUGCACGUCUUGACGGUACCUAAUCAGAAAGCCACGGCUAACUACGUGCCAGCAGCCGCGGUAAUACGUAGGUGGCAAGCGUUAUCCGGAAUUAUUGGGCGUAAAGCGCGCGUAGGCGGUUUUUUAAGUUUGAUGUGAAAGCCCACGGCUCAACCGUGGAGGGUCAUUGGAAACUGGAAAACUUGAGUGCAGAAGAGGAAAGUGGAAUUCCAUGUGUAGCGGUGAAAUGCGCAGAGAUAUGGAGGAACACCAGUGGCGAAGGCGACUUUCUGGUCUGUAACUGACGCUGAUGUGCGAAAGCGUGGGGAUCAAACAGGAUUAGAUACCCUGGUAGUCCACGCCGUAAACGAUGAGUGCUAAGUGUUAGGGGGUUUCCGCCCCUUAGUGCUGCAGCUAACGCAUUAAGCACUCCGCCUGGGGAGUACGACCGCAAGGUUGAAACUCAAAGGAAUUGACGGGGACCCGCACAAGCGGUGGAGCAUGUGGUUUAAUUCGAAGCAACGCGAAGAACCUUACCAAAUCUUGACAUCCUUUGACAACUCUAGAGAUAGAGCCUUCCCCUUCGGGGGACAAAGUGACAGGUGGUGCAUGGUUGUCGUCAGCUCGUGUCGUGAGAUGUUGGGUUAAGUCCCGCAACGAGCGCAACCCUUAAGUUUAGUUGCCAUCAUUAAGUUGGGCACUCUAAGUUGACUGCCGGUGACAAACCGGAGGAAGGUGGGGAUGACGUCAAAUCAUCAUGCCCCUUAUGAUUUGGGCUACACACGUGCUACAAUGGACAAUACAAAGGGCAGCGAAAUCGCGAGGUCAAGCAAAUCCCAUAAAGUUGUUCUCAGUUCGGAUUGUAGUCUGCAACUCGACUACAUGAAGCUGGAAUCGCUAGUAAUCGUAGAUCAGCAUGCUACGGUGAAUACGUUCCCGGGUCU